UAUCAGAGUGAGAUUAAGCCAUGCGAGUCAACGUAGCAAUACGUGGCACACGGCUCAGUAACACGUAGUCAACAUAACCAAAGGACGUGGAUAAACCCGGGAAACUGAGGCUAAACCGCGAUAGAUCAAGAUAUCUGGAAUGGUUUUUGAUCAAAAUCUAUAUGGCCUUUGGAUUGGACUGCGUCCGAUCAGGCUGUUGGUGAGGUAAUGGCCCACCAAACCUGUAACCGGUACGGGCUCUGAGAGGAGGAGCCCGGAGAUGGGUACUGAGAAAAGGACCCAGGCCCUAUGGGGCGCAGCAGGCGCGAAACCUCUGCAAUAGGCGAAAGCCUGACAGGGUUACUCUGAGUGACUUUCGCUAAGAAAGUCUUUUGACACCUCUAAAAAUGGUGUAGAAUAAGGGGUGGGCAAGUC
rnacentral:rRNA from 1 species